rnacentral:rRNA from 1 species
UACGAAGGGGGGCUAGCGUUGUUCGGAAUUACUGGGCGUAAAGCGCACGUAGGCGGACUUUUAAGUCAGGGGUGAAAUCCCGGGGCUCAACCUCGGAACUGCCUUUGAUACUGGAAGUCUUGAGUAUGGAAGAGGUAAGUGGAAUUGCGAGUGUAGAGGUGAAAAUUCGUAGAUAUUCGCAGGAACACCAGUGGCGAAGGCGGCUUACUGGUCCAUUACUGACGCUGAGGUGCGAAAGCGUGGGGAGCAAACAGGG